rnacentral:misc_RNA from 1 species
GAUGAAGAACGUAGCGAAAUGCGAUACGUAAUGUGAAUUGCAGAAUUCAGUGAAUCAUCGAAUCUUUGAACGCAUAUUGCGCUCUCUGGUAUUCCGGAGAGCAUGCUUGUUUGAGUAUCAGUAAACACCUCAACUUCCAUAUCUUUUUUUGAAAUGGGAGUUGGACUUGAGUGGUCCCAACGCUUUUCCUCACCGAAAAGUGGCGGGUUACUUGAAAUGCAGGUGCAGCUGGACUUUUCUCUGAGCUAUAAGCAUAUCUAUUUAGUCUGCCUAAAAAACAGAUUAUUACCUUUGCUGCAGCUAACAUAAAGGAGAUUAGUUCUUGUGCUGACUGAUGCAGGAUUCACAAAGACAGCUUCGGCCGACUUUGUAAACUCGAUCUCAAAUCAAGUAAGACUACCCGCUGAACUUAAGCAUAUCAAUAAGCGGAGGA